GUGUUUUUGUUUUUUUUAAGAAAUAUUUUGGUAACCCAAAUUGUUCAGUUUGCCAGGUUAAAACUAAAAGAUCAGUUUGGAUACUUGUUUUCAGACAGACUGCUUAAAGUUCAGCUCCAGAGGUAAAGCAUAGUGGAGUUUAUAGCAGUGUGGGUGAUGCUUUGUCAAGGAAUCAUUUGGGGUACUUCUGCCCCAGAAGAAGGGCUUUUGAAAAACUCAGCUGAGCCCACAGCUCCCGCCGUGUCUUUUCCUCUUGACGAAAGGUGGCUUCCUUCACCUUUGCCUGAACCCACGAGCAGUGACCAGGGUGGCAGCGAGAAGUUCUGAGUCAGAAAGACGAGGCCACUGUGGCCUCAGCUGAUUUUCCAGAACAGUGGCUUUCACGUGACGUUAGCAGCAGAGCCCUCUCCUCAAGCGUGAUGUCAUCGAGCUGCCUGAUGGCGUAAAAGGGAUAAAAAUGGGGCAGUUCUGGGGCUCCUGGGUGGCCCAGUCGGUUAAAUGUCUGACUUUGGCUCAGGUCGUGAACUCACGGUACAUGAGUUCAAGUCCCGCGUCGGGCUCUGUGCUGACAGCUCAGAGCCUGGAGCCUGCUUCGGAUUCUGUGUCUCCCUCUCUCUCUGCCCCUCCCCUGCUCCUGUGCUCUCACUCUCUCUCUAAAAUAAACGUUAAAAAAAAAAAAAGACAUUUCUGGGGGAGAUUGAAACUGCAAUUAAGUCUCAUUUAAAAAAAAAAAAAGUCUGACAUCAUCUACAGCUGGACUCAUCUACUCCAGGAUGUGACAGUCACUUAAACAAGUAAAUUCCUCACUCUGCUUAUUGUUGAGUUUUCCAGCCCUUGCAACUGAGAGAGUCCUAAGACAGGUCUAUUUGCGGCUCUGGAAAUAUCUAGAGAAAGAGACUUCGAGAAGCUUCUAAAGGGUUAUUUCCCCAUCUUUGGAGGAUGACAGAUCAGUCACGAUAUACAUGCAUCUUUCCACACUUCUCUUUAUAUAUCUGCCAGGGUCCUCGGGCUUGGAGUGUCAUGGGUGUAUGUUCUUGAUGGACACGGCUGGUGAGUCUCCCCCACCCCCCCUUCCGGAGCCCAGCCUUGCAGAGCAGUAGUCCUGAGUGUGAGCCCCCUUGCAUCAACGCCCUAUAAGCAGUUUUCCUAUUGCCCGGUGAAGUCCCACGGCUCCGGGGGAGGUGCCUCGGGGCUGCCCUGGGAGACGUGGAAGACCUCCGCUUCCGCAGGAGGGCUCGACAUCCUGACACUUCUCUGUCCGCCUUGAGCCGAGAGGGUGGCAAAAGCGCCCCCGGCUGGGCUCCCGCAGCUGCCCUCUCCUCCCGGGCGUCAGUGUCUGGGCCAGCUCGGGGGCACCCACGACUUGCUGGUCUCUGCCACGUCGAUCCCGCGAGGCUGAUUCGUGCCAAAGAAAUUCUGAUGCUCUGUGGCUCCCCGGACUGCGUUUUCCCCCACCUCCUGGGAAGAGAACGCAACUUGUUGCUUCCGCUCUUUCUACAGAAGGCUUUGAAAGCUGGGCUUUCCUCCAGGCCAUUACUGUGCAGAUUCUGGAAAGGGUGGGGGUAAGGUAAGUAAAAAUUUCCUACCUUUUUGAAUGUGCUGUUAUCCUCGAUUGGUUUUCAUUUGGUCGCUGUGGUCCUUUGACUGUUUUCCAGAGCUCCUAUGAAGUUAUUUUCUUAAGUCUGUAGUGUUUAAAAAUUUAUUAAUGUUGCCAUGGGGGGAAUGAGUGCCUUAUAUUUCCUAGCUUGCAGUCUUUCUUACUUCAUACAUUUGGAGGGUCUGUCUUUAGGUGUGUAAAUGUUUAUGAUUGUUAGAUAUCUUUGUUGUAUUGAAACUUUUAUUAAUAUAUAAUGUUCUCUUUAGCCUCUUGUAAACGUUUGGAUUUCAAGUCUUUUGUCUGAUACUCAUGUAGCCAACCCAGAUUCCUUUUGAUUACUAUUUACAUGGAAUAUCUUUUUCCAUCUUUUCACUUUUAACUAUUGUGAGUACACAGCAUAUAGUUGGAACUUUGAAUUACUGUCUAGCGUACUUUUAUUUCAACCUGAAAACUACCUUUAGUAUUUUUUUGCAGGGCAGAUCUAGUGAUAAUGAACUCCCUAAGCUUUAAGUUUAUGUAGGCAUAUUUUAAUUUAACCUUCAUUUUUGAAGGACAGUUUUGUUGGCUAUAAAAUUCUCAGUUGAUAAUUUUUUCUUUUUUCUUUUUAUUUCUUUUUUAAAUUAUUUUAGAGAGAGAGAAAGACAGAGCAUGAGUGGGGGAGAGAGGCAGAGAGAGAGAUAGAGAGAGAGAGAGAGAGAGAGAGAGAGAGAGAGUCUUAAGCAGGCUCCAGGUUCAGCAUGGAGCCUGACCUAGGGCUCGAUCCCAUGACCCUGGGAUCAUGACCUGAGUCGAAAUCAAGAGUCCGAUGAUGCUCACCUGACUGUCUGAAGGACAAAGUCCCUUUUUGCCCACGCUGGCCCCCAUAGCUUGUUCCAAGGAAUGUGGACAUAGCUACGUACCCCAAGGAUGGAUGUUUAUGGAUAGUAGCCAAUACUGUGCUAGUGCCUGAAACUGACUAAAAUGAAAAACACUUUAUAAGCCAAGACUUCAUCUGGAAGCUCCAAGCUUUGAAUAGGCUCUAUAUUUUUUAAAUCGUUAACCAGAUAGCUUCUACCAGUGCUUUUGUCAUCCAGAUGAAAAGAUGGAUUCCUGGUGCCCAUCUUCCAUGAUGUCACUCCCUACCUAACUCUUUUUAAAUCUUUGCACCACCGAUCAUCUCGUGAAGUCCAACUGCUGGUUUGCAACAUAAAAUGCCCAUGAAGAACCGUGGGGCAUUUUCUUCAGAAACCUCAGAACCUGGAGUGGCCACAAUUCUUCAAAGAGAACAAUAGGUUCUCCGUAUUUCUUCUCAUGAUAGGGCCUCAAACAUUUCAUUAGGAAGAGGGAUAUGGCUGGCCAAUACUAUUAUGGAUGAUUUCUUUGAAAUUUCCCUUGUGUCUUUCCCACAUCCCUAAGGUUUAUCAUAUCUGUAGGGGUGUUUUGUUUUGUGUUGUUUGUCUCUUCAAAGGCAUUUUGCUGAUGAAAAACAGAAGGAGCUUGUAAUACUGCUUGACUUUUCAAAACCUAAGAUCCAUAGGGAACAUGAGAAGUUCUCUGGAAGAGAUGAGAGAAGAGGAAAGAAGUUGUGUGUGGGAGGGGUAAAAAAUGGGGGAGGGUCUGUGCAUUGCAGGCCACAAGGAUUCCAGUCCUGACAUCUGGUAGAACCCCAGGGAACAGCAGGCCCAUAGCAGAGUGGCUGCUUAGGGAGCUAAUCAGCGAGACUGGAAGCCCCCAAUGCCAAUGCCUCAUGUAGUGGUAAAUGGCAAGGUAGCAGCCAAGGGCACAGGGUCAGUAUUCAUUCGGUAGUCUUUUGAACAUAGAACUGAUAAUCUGUAGGUUUUUGUCACCCCAUCACUGUAGUAUUGCACAUGUCUGUGAGAUAUAGGUAGUUCUGGUAGGGAAGGAUUAUAAAAAUAAUCCACAAAACUAACCAGUUUGUGAUUUACUGCCCACUUGGAGGAAAUUGGGACUUAAUUUUUUUUUUAAAUAUUUAUUUAGUUUUGAGAGAGAGAGAGAGAAAGAGAGCAUGAGCAGGGGAGGGGCAGAGAGAGAGAGAGAGAGAGAGAGAAUCUGAAGCAGGCUCCAGGCUCUAAGCUGCCAGCACAGAGCCUGACGUGGGCUUGAACCCACAAACUGAGAUAUCAUGACCUGAGCUGAAGUCGGACACUUAACCAACUGAGCUACCCAGGCGCCCCAGAAAUUGGGGCUUAAAUUAAAAUUAUGUUGACUUAUAGAAAAUAAAAAUAUGAGCCUAUACCUGCACUGUGCACUAAGAUAUAUACCAUUACCUCUGUUCAUGCCUAUGUUUUCAUUUCAUCUCUGCAUGUGGAGUGCUUUGUGUAUGCAUGGUAGUUACUACAUGCCCAACACUACAUGCUCAAUAAAUGGCAUCUGAAUUAGUGAAGACUCAUUUCAAAUCUCUUGAUAAUGAUGCCAAAUUGUGUUUUUAGCAGCCUUCUAGCAUGAACUAUUUUAUAAUUCUGCUCUUGAAUAAUGAAUUUCUAUUUAACUACACUCUCACCGACUUUGACGAUGAGCACACUUUAAUUUUUGAUCUUUUGAAAAUAAAAGUUGACAUUCCA